rnacentral:rRNA from 1 species
UACGUAGGGAGCUAGCGUUGUCCGGAAUCACUGGGCGUAAAGGGUGCGUAGGCGGGUCUUUAAGUCAGGGGUGAAAUCCUGGAGCUCAACGCCAGAACUGCCUUUGAUACUGAAGAUCUUGAGUUCGGGAGAGGUGAGUGGAACUGCGAGUGUAGAGGUGAAAUUCGUAGAUAUUCGCAAGAACACCAGUGGCGAAGGCGGCUCACUGGCCCGAUACUGACGCUGAGGCACGAAAGCGUGGGGAGCAAACAGG